UAGGAGAGCAGUGUUGAUCGAGAUGAUAUUAAAGAACCUUUUAGUGAGGCUAGUGAGAUCAAGUUGGAGGAGGUUGCUAUUUUGCAUUACACAUGCUAAAUUCUCAUAUCUCACUUUCAGACGUGAUCGCUGUGGUUGCAAACCUACCAAAGAAGAUGUAAAAAGAUACUUCAUGUUGGAAUUUGACAGAUCUUAAGUGCAAUUACUCUCUGCUGCUACAAGGACAAUAACACAGCCAUGGCUGCUUCAGUUUCAACCAUAGGAGCUGUCAAAGGAACUCCAGA